GGCAUGUGGGAUCUUCCCGGACCAGGGCUCCAACCCGUGUCCCCUGCAUUGGCAGGUGGAUUCUUAACCACUGCACCACCAGGGAAGUCCCCGUUGAGUGGAUUCUGAUGGCUUCUCUGUCGACGUAAUUCAGGCUCUUCGAAUCUCAGGCUCGAAUCCGAAGUCAUCUAUGUAAUUUCCCUUCUGGGAUGGGAUAUCACGGUGGCUCCGAGAAUUCUGGGAGAGAACAUUAACUUGGUUUUGAGAAUUCUGAUGGAGAUGUUAAUGUGGUGCUGAGAACUGGGGCGGAAGGGGGGGUAAAAUGUUAGGAUGGCUCAGAAUUCUGGAAUGGAUUUUAGGCCAGCUCUGAAAAUUCUUGCUGGGAUGUUAGUCUGACUAUGAAAACAUGGGAUAAAACGUUAA